GCCUUCGUAGUGUAAUGGUCAAGACACUUGGCGUGUAUUCGAGAGGUCCGAGGUUCGAAUCCCUUCGAGGGCA
rnacentral:tRNA from 1 species